ACUUCGGGUUGUCGUCGGUGUUGCAUGUCAUUGAGGACAAUGACUACUUCAGGUGUGUGAGGGUGUGACGCCCCAAAGUUUUGGGGCCUGUCACUCGCCAGGAUUGUGCGUGCCAACUAGGCCGCAACCUUGUCAGCUAUGCAGGCGGCAUGUGCUGAGGGAAUAGGCUGAAGUCGAAGAUGAGGCAAAGGGGCAUAACAUGAGGCAACAAGCAUCUAUAUAUGUUGCAUGACAUGUCCUAAGAGUGCCAAUGUGAUUUGGAGAGGGCUUGGUGUGAGCCCAAGGGGGCGGAGGCAUGGUGAGGAUCGUGUGCGGUGUUCGAUGUCAGCGCCGCGCCCUUUUGAGCUACAAGUGGAAUCUCAGGAUUCCGGUUUAGAGAGUUGAUAUUGAUGGUACCUUAUGUAUGCUUACCAAAUUUGGGGUCAUUUGGAGUCCGUUUGGAUAGGGGCUUGACUUGGCCAAAGUCCAGUGGCAUUGUCGUAAUUUGCUGAUUGGUCCGAAGGCCAUAACUCCUUCCAUGUGUAUGGGAAUGGGGUGAAGCUUCAUGGAGGUGUGAAGGAAGUCAAGAUAAAGGAGUAGGAACAAACGGCACCCAAUUUGAAGGUCGGAUGAAUGAUCUAAGCCCCAGUAUGAUUCUCGGGCAAAAUGAUGUCUAGUGGCAGACAUUGGGAUUAUUUAUUUUAAGCAUAUAUAAGGGGGGUAUGAAUGGUGACAGCCUACCAGCCUCCCCCGGGUGUGUCGACAGAUGGCCACCCCAAGUGUGCUGCCUUGAGGGACAACCUCAAGGGCCUGCCUUGGCAUGUCAAAGGAAUGCGCAAGGUACUCAUAGGGCUCGGGAACCCUAUGGGCAACGCAAGGUCGGGUGGACUAGCGUUGGGCGUCGGAAAAGGCUAGAGGUUGGCUAUAUGAACCGACAAGCCCCGUGGGCUGUCUAAAUGAUGGAAGGAUGCCUCCAAGCCGAUAGAGCAAUCGAGAUACUCUCCCCAAGAGACUCGUGAGCUAACUUGUGAGCUUGGUCAAGGUUCAGCCAAGCGAGCAAGGGUCCGUUGGCCUAGACGCGCAGUUGUGGGGCGACACUGUGCUACGGAAGCUGGAUGCAAGUUGCGUGGGCUAUGUUUGGCUAUGCCAUAAGACAUGAGAGGGCAUAUCUAAGAAAGACGCUUGAGACAAAGGCCAAGGAUUGAGGGUUGCCCUACUCGGGCGAAGCAAAGGCCAAGUGCACAUGCAUGAGGCGAUGUCAAGCUUGAGGAUAGGACUGUGCAUGCGAUGGCAAUGCUCAGGCCAAGGCAAGGGACAAGUAGGUCCGUAGCCACCCCCAGGAGCGCAUAUGGAUGAGAUCCACGGAUUAAAGGUGCGCCAGAAGAGUUGCUUAUACGUUGGCUAUGUCAGCCGACAUGUUGAAGGAGCGGCACCAAAGGGGGCAAGCCUCUGAGGCGAGCUUCCCACAGGCACAGGAUCGUGCUAAAGACCUGGGAAAUGAGGAAGGCUGGCCCAUAGUUGGGGGAACCAUGGGCGCCGCACGGGCAAAAUUGUGUGCCGCUGACACGUUGAAAAAUGAGCCCGUGACAAGUGGUAUCAGAGCAUAGAAUUGAGAGCAGAUUGUGAAUGUCAUUGCAGCGAUCACGUCAAAGCAUAGAUUGACAUUUGUUGUGCUCAUGAAGAUCGUUGGAGACGAUGCUACCUUGUAAAGGGAAUUGGUUGUAUGUUGAGAUGCUUGAGUUAGCUAUAUCAACCAAGGCCCAUCAUUUUAGAAUCAUGCCAUUUCACAGCCGUUGAUUCCGCCUUCGUCUGUGUGGGUUGAUUUCAUCUUCGAAGCAUCCGAGAGUGAUUGAGAAACCUUCAAGGGAUGACUUCAAAUCAGUGGGUACCGUAUGCAGAGGGAUUCCAUGGAGGCACGUUGGGCCAACAGUUGUGGUCAUCAUGCGAUGCUGUUUGAGUGGAACCACAAAGUUGGACAAUCGGAUAGCUAGUGCUCAAAUGUCCUUGAUUGUGGGGAAUCGUCAGUUCGUCAGAAACUCUGUUAGCGGUAUGUUGGCAACUAUGGUCAGAAGAGAGC
rnacentral:lncRNA from 1 species